AUGGCGCUGCAAUGUCUAUUUGCAAAUAUUUUGUUUUAUAUUUUGCGUGUAUGAUUUUAAGAAGUUAUUCAAAGAUUAAAAAUUAUGAGAUAAAUGAAAACAUUUUUAAUCUUUUCGCGUAAUUUUUUGCUUUACGUAAUAAACUUCUAAAAUUAGCCAAAAUGUGAGUAUUUUUGGCCUAGUUUUAUGUGGUCGUUGUUUAACCGGCCCACUUGAAUAGUAAAAUUCGAAUAAAGUAAGCAAGAAUCGUAAACGUUCGACUGGAACGCAAUUACUCGCCGCCAUUUGACGUCGCGUCCUGCACAUGCACAAUAACGGCAUUGUGUUUUUCGACUGCCGGCGCUCUCAAACGAAGCAAAGACGACGCUAUAAAUAUGAAUUAUGCAUGUGGUGAGGUGUGCGAGGCGCGCUAGAAAAUUAAUGUGCGUCGCUCUGCGACGGCGAGAGGAAGUGAUUUUAAUAAAUUUUUAGUUUUAUCGUUUUUCAAUCGCAUUGAAGCCGACCGUGAAGAAAACUCACUCGAAUCCAUACAGGUAUUGGAAUAUCUGCGAAAUGUACAUUGUAUGAUCAACAUUUGAGGGCAACACUUCACAAAUUAGUUCUGCUUUGUUCCAGAAAAAGAAAAACUUGAAAGUUUUGAAAAACGUGCUAUAACCGCACACCUGUUGAAUUAGGUAUACUUAUCAUUAGAAACAUGGUUGAAAGCCUUUUUUAUUUCUUUCAAUGCGAUGCACACAUAAAGUAAUGCCAAUAGUUAUCACUUACCAUCUGUGACGAAUAAAUAAUACAUUGCUUAUUAAAUUAUGCAAUCGACAAUUUUGCAAUAAACUGUCGUCAGAGAUGCGCUGAAGGAUACGGCGUGUGCAUUUGGCUUUGGUGGCACCGGCAGCCAUAAAACGGAUGGUGGAUAUUGAACAUGGACACACACAUCGUUUGUCGGUUCUAAUGCGUCUCGCACGAUGAAUUUUAUGAAACUGUGCUUGUAUCAAGUUUUCUCAACGCACUUAAACGCAGGCAUUAUUAAAAAUUUAAAAAAUUUAAAUUUUAGUAAAAAUUUUCAAAUGAAAAUUUAAAGAGUUUUUGUUUAUAUUUGUAUUAAUCGUGUGUUAAGCGAAUCAAAUCAUGAAUAUCACC